GGGAAUCUCAAUCGCUACGUAAGCCCUAACAACCCAUGGUUCUGCACGAAGAUGUGACCUAGCCCCUCUAUUUGGUGAGAAUCAGCAAUGGUAGAAAAACUAUUAAGUUCAUGAGGACUGUUGUAGGGGUCAGAAUAACUAAACGAAUGGGAUAGAACAUGCUAUAGUUACGAAUAUAAUAUCAUUCUAUAUGUGUCUAUACACUGCAAAACUUUCUUUUUUUUCCACUCUUAUUUUUAACGUUCAUUCAUCAUCCAUGGAAAACAGCCACCUCUGUGCAUUUAGUACUACAGGAGAACCAUUCCUUGUCUUCUCCACAAUUUGCUGUAUGAGCUGCUUCUCUAUCUCAUCACUGCAAUCGCUGUUUUCAUCUUCACUUGCACCAUCAUAAAGCAAUUCCUGAAUUCCCGGGUUUCGCUCCAUUGAUGCCUUUAACUGAUUGAAGUAUAAUUCUCUAGAUGGUUUUUCUUUAUUGGAAGUAAGAUGAGUCAAGGAAUCAUUUGCUGCACCAUUUUGGCCCCACAAAAUGCUCUCAUUAAAUGGAGGUAUGCCUCCUUCGUGGUUAUUUUCAUAAACCCAAGAUGGUGAAUCGUCUUCUUCCGACUCAUUUAUCUUCAUUAGCUCUUCAUAUGCUUCAUUGUAAGCAUCAAGAGCUUCCCCCGAUAAAUUCAUAACUAGAGGCUGGGCCGUAGAAUUGAAAUUUUCUUCGGUUUCUUCACCAGAGGAGUACCUCAGUUCACCGUUUGACAACUUACUUGAAACAUUCUUACGCUCAGAUUCUCUGAGUUGCAACUUCCUCUCACUGUUUUGAAGGGCCAUUUCAAGCUUCUUCACACGCUUUUCGAGUCUGGAUUGAAUAACUUCAUGCAGACGCAGGCUCAGUUCUCGGGGUGAAACUGUAUAAUUUCCAGUGUGAGUUGUUGAGGUACCACUUGCAUCUCUAUCUGAUUCAAGUUCGACAACAGUUCGCCCAUUGACCAUGUCUUCUCGUAGUUCACCUUGAGCAAAGUCUGCUACAAAAUCUGAGUCAAGCUCAACAAGAUCAGACAAUCUUCUCUCCAAAUUAGAUAGAUUCAUGUUUAGCCCCAAUCUCUCAAGUUCAGCUUCAAGUUCUGCUUCAAUUUUAUUCAUGUCUUCUGAAGUCUCCUCAGCCUUCUCAUAGAGUGAUUCUUUACCAUCAUUGUUUAUUGAACUAUCCAUAUUGUGUACAGAAACAACUGGAAUUGGUGCCCUGUAGUGAAAUGCGUUCUCACAUGUACCCUGUGAUUCAUAGUUCUCAUCAGCUAGCUCUUUCACUGUCAAUGAAUCUUUCAUCUCAAGUUCUUCUUGCAGAUCUUGAACCAAGUUCUCUUUUUGCUUCAAAAAGUUUUUUAACUUGUUUACUUCUCUUCUAUUAGCUAGGAGAGAAGAGGCUAUGCCAACACAAAUGCCCAGACAAAAUAAAAUUGUUUGAUCAAAUGACCCAUUUUGGGAAUCAAAACACCUUUCACUGCCUGCUUUAUGGAAAUUGCUGUAUCUUUUAUCAUGCCCCUUUCCUGUCUUAGAUUUAAUCUUAUUGGGAGCAUCCAAUGCGCUGGUUUUUGGCAGUGGAGGAACCCCACACACAUUUUCCUCCUUAUGCAGCCUAUUAUUGUCAGUACUGAUCUGUGCACUGAAAGAAUGACCAUUCACUCUGUUAAUUGUUUGGUUUCCAUCAAUUACAAGCAGCGGCCUCUUAGUUGUAGAAGGUGAAGGAAAGACCCUAAGCACAUACUCUUCCAUUUUCGUGUGUUCCUUGUAUAACUGAGCCAUUAGGCAACUUUCUAGGGAACUCAAAGGUUUAAUAAAAUGACCAUAUAUAUGUUUGGUUCUAAGAGAGCUUCUUUUCCUUGUAGAAUCAUUAAAAAAAUUCACUUCACUAAUACAAGGCCCACCAGAAUUAUCACCCAUAUCACCACCCACCACAUUUCCACCCUCACUUUCUUUUAGGUUUUCAUCUGUUGAGAAUCCAAGUGACAAGCUUGAGAAGGACAGCACAUUGUCCUCAUAACCACUAGUAGAACCUUCUGCUUCUGAAGCAUCAUCUAACUUGUACAUAUCUGACAAUCUCUCACCUGUAGAAGUAUUUUCUGCCAAUUUCCUUCUCCGAGUCAAUCUGCGGAAGGGGCAGCUGGGGGUUUCAUUUUUCUCACAUUUGGAGGGCCCAGGCUCCAAUAAACUAUCCCUAACCCUUGAAACAUAUUGCCAAUGUUUAGCAAUGUAUCCAGCAGCAGCAGCUGCUCCAAAAACCCACAAAUCCAUUUCUGCUUUCCCAGAAAAGACAAAAAUACUACCCAAAUUCUACAACAAUAAUUUUCCUCUUUUACCAAUUUCGACCAAAAAAACCACCCAGGGCAACAAUUUCCAUCAAUUCAAAGACAAAAAGACAUUUCUAAACUAAAGCAUUUAAAGCCCUAAAACUAUAAAGUCCAAUUGUAAGUUAAAAAAUGGGAACUACUUCCACAGAAUGGAAACACUUCAACAAUUUAACGAAACGAGUAUUUCUCCUUGUCUAUGUUCCCAGCAUUUGCUUUUCUGACAUCAAUAAUAAAACUCCCUGUAGCAAAUAGUCGAUUGCUACAAAGAAUUCAAAAUAAAACACUAAAGAACUGAACUUCUCGAAGAGAACCAAUCCCAAUGCUGCCUUCCUCAGUCCAUAUCCCAAACUCAUUCAAGUAAAAUAAAAUCCCAUUCCAAA
rnacentral:misc_RNA from 1 species